rnacentral:rRNA from 1 species
GAAGGUAGCGUAAUCAUUUGUCUUUUAAAUAGAGACCUGUAUGAAUGGCAUAACGAGGGUUUAACUGUCUCCCUCCCCUAGUCAAUGAAAUUGAUCUGCCCGUGCAGAAGCGGACAUAAACACAUAAGACGAGAAGACCCUAUGGAGCUUUAGACAAAAGAUCAAACAUGUAAAGAAACCAAACUAACCAAAAGGAACACAAGGGCCACAAAACCCGACGUAAAAUGAUCCAAAUGUCUUCGGUUGGGGCGACCAUGGGGGAAAGAAAAGCCCCCACGAGGAACUAGGGGCAAUCCAUUAAGUCAAGAGAUACACCUCUAAACAACAGAAAAUCUGACCAAAAAUGACCCAGGACACUAAUCCUGAUCAACGAACCAAGUUACCCUAGGGAUAACAGCGCAAUCCUUUCCCAGAGUCCAUAUCGACGAAAGGGUUUACGACCUCGAUGUUGGAUCAGGACAUCCUAAUGGUGCAGCCGCUAUUAAGGGUUCGUUUGUUC